ACGACGAGGUAGAUAGGUUGAAGGUGGAAGUGCAGUAAUGUAUGGAGCUGAUCAAUACUAAUCGGUCGAGGGCUUGACCAA
rnacentral:rRNA from 1 species